GGUGGCUCAAUGGUAGAGCUCUUGCCUUGAAUGCAUGAGGCCCUGGGUUCGAUUCCUCAGCACCA
rnacentral:tRNA from 1 species